UUUCAAAAGAUUGAAGAUGAUGACAAUACACCUGCAUCAAAUGUCAAAAAGAAACAUAGAGACGAUGUUCCUCGCCUGUUUACAUUUGAUGCACAUGCUAUACAACGCGGGGCACGUUUUGCCGAGUUAUUUGAAAGCGACGAGAUCGUAGAAGACUUCAACGAGGUCGUCGAACUUGAUGAUGAACGGGUUGAAGAGGUCGUGUCUCAGGAACUGGUAGGAAAGUUGGUUGGUAACAAAUGGUUUCGUGGUCUCAUUCUCGGUAGUAUCAUAGUAAACGCUAUUCUCAUUGGGGUACAGACCAACCAA